GGUGGUUCUUGGGUGAUGCACCCUGGAAUCGGGCUCCCUCCUUUCUGGUUCUGGGGUGAAUCACCCAAGAACCGCU
rfam:Myotis brandtii contig157125, whole genome shotgun sequence.